rnacentral:sRNA from 1 species
GGCCCGGUGGUUGUUAAUGCAUGAGUGACUGCCUGCAUUGUGUGUUCCCAGAGAGGUCAGAGUCUUGUUGGUGGCUUAAGAAAGAAAGAAAGAGAGAGAGGAAGAAAGAGAGCCAGCACAAAGCCCAGAAUUGGACAGCUGACAUCCAGGAGGAAGGCUGCGUAAGAUGGUCCCGAAUAGCUGUCUGGGAUGGUGACUCUCUGCUGCCUGGCACCUAGUAGGUGCUUAAUAAAUGUCUGAAAAGGCUCAGUCAUGUUUCCUGCCAAAGAGAAGACCAAAAGAGGGAGAUUUUGUAACCAACAAAUAAUUGACCUUUUGAUAUCAAAGGUGAUUUGCUCAUGAAGAAAAUAGCAGUGCUAAUUUCAAAAUGGUAACUACCUGGUUGGAAUUUGUAUCUUAGUAAAGCUUCAAACCAAUGCAUGGAUGACUUUUGAAAAGUGCAAACGGACUCUAAAAUUCUAUGAAGAGAAUGUUCGUAACAUUGCUCACUUGUAUUCUCACUUCCUCCCAUUUCACAGAUGAAGAAACUGAGAUCCGCAAUGACUGUAAAGUUUGGAAGUAGAGGUGCCAAGAUGUAAGCUCCGUCCUUGGUCUUUUGUUUGCCUUACUGAGCCCUAAGUUCAGGUCAUCAGCUCAGGCUGCAUGACUCCCCUGCAAGAUCAUGAGCUACUUAAAAGCAAGGACCACGACUUCUCUUUGGCAAGGCCAGUUUCUGGCCCAGUGCAAUGGCACAUAAUAGCCCUAAAUAAACAUUUAAAGAGU